rnacentral:rRNA from 1 species
CCUACGGGGGACAGCAGUGAGGAAUAUUGGUCAAUGGACGAGAGUCUGAACCAGCCAAGUCGCGUGAAUGAUGACUGCCCUAUGUGUUGUAAGCUUCAUUUAUAAAGGAAUAAAACGAGGUACGUGUGCCUUUUGCCAUGUACUUUAUGAUUAAAGUUCGGCUAACUACGUGUCAGCAGCAGCGGUAAUACGGAGGUGCCGAGCGUUAUCCGGAUUUAUUGGGUUUAAAGGGAGCGUAGAUGGGGUGUGAAGUCAGUUGUGAAAGUUUGCGGCUCAACCGUAAAAUUGCAAUUGAUACUGGACGUCUUGAGUACAGUUGAGGUAGGUGGAAUUCGUGGUGUAGCGGUGAAAUGCUUAGAUAUCACGAAGAACCCCGAUUGCGAAGGCAGCUUACUAGACUGUGACUGACAUUGAUGCUCGAAAGUGUGGGUAGCAAACAGGAUUAGAUACCCCAGUAGUC